CUUCUUUUACUUCAUCAUGGCCUCAAAGCACGAGAGUAGUGAUGCUGACAAUUUGGAUAUACCAAAGAGAAGCUGUAAAAUGCUUCCUUUCAGUGAAAAAGUGAAAGUUCUACAUUUAAUAAGAUGUCUUCUACGAACAUUUGUUUCCCAAACCAGAGAAACCCUUAUUCACUCAUUAACCAUUGGGAUUUUUGUUCAAAGGCCCAUGAAUUAUUGCUACUUUAAAUUUGCAAGCAAAUUUAUAAUUGGAUCCUGAUGUCCCAGCACCCAUAAAUAUUUUAUAAUAAUUGUACAAACAACACUUACAUUAAGGACAUGAACGAUUAAAAUAGGGAGACCCCCAUCUCUACCAAAAAAUAGGAAGAAGAAGAAGAAGAAGAAGAAGAAGAAGAAGAAGAAGAAG